UACGUAGGGUGCAAGCGUUGCCCGGAUUUAUUGGGCGUAAAGGGCGCGUAGGCGGUGCGGUAAGUCUGUAGUGAAAUCUCUGGGCUCAACUCAGAGUCUGCUAUAGAAACUGCCGUGCUUGAGUGUGGGAGAGGUGAGUGGAAUUUCCGGUGUAGCGGUGAAAUGCGUAGAUAUCGGAAGGAACACCUGUGGCGAGAGCGGCUCACUGGACCAUUACUGACGCUGAUGCACGAAAGCUAGGGGAGCAAACAGG
rnacentral:rRNA from 1 species